GAGGAGAGGACGUGCCGGGAAAAGAAUGCAGAAAGGAGAUUUUUUUUGGCCACAGAGUUUUUGCUAAAAGCAGCUAGGAAGCCCCACGGCUCCAGUGUGCGUGAACUCCUGGUAAUUUCCUUGGGGAAUCCCGCCUCAGAGAACCUCUACCCCGAGAAUUAGGAGGAAGCUGAGCUAGGCUGACUUGAGGAAAGAGAGCUGGAGGAGCGGGGUUCAACAUUUUUCAAAAUAAAAAGUUGGUAGAAUAAUAGGAAGCCAUGAGGACCAAGAAGCUCACAUUUCCAAGGCUUUCUAAGUUUCACCUUGAAGCAAGAUACAUCAUAAAGCAUUGUCUAGGUACAACUUGCACUUUCCUGUCCAAGCCUCAGACCCUGUUCUUCAUCUGGGCCCACAGAGCAACAGCUUCCACUUUUGUGGCCAAAGAAAAAUGCUAACCAGCUUGUAAUUGCUGUAAGGAGUUUUCAGAUUUUCCCGGGCAAGAUGGCCGAAUAGGAACAGCUCCGGUCUGCAGCUCCCAGCAAGACCAAUGCAGAAGGGGGGUGAUUUCUGCAUUUCCAACUGAGGUACCCGGCUCAUCUCACUGGGACUGGUUAGACAGUGGGUGCAUCCCACAGAGGGAGCUGAAGCAGGGUGGGUGUUCCGUCACCCAGGAAGUGCAAGGGGUCAGGGAACUCCCUCCCCUAGCCAAGGGAAGCUGUGAGGGACUGUGCCAUGAGGGACAGAGCUAUCCAGCCCAGAUACUAUGCUUUUCCCACUGUCUUCGCAACUUGCAGACCAGGAGAUUUCCUCAGUGCCUACACCACCAGGACCCGGGAUUUCAAGCACAAAGCUGAGUGGUCAUUUGGGCAGACACGGAGCUAGUUGCAGGAGUUUUUUUUCAUACCCCAGUGGUGCCUGGAAUGCCAGCGAGACAGAACCAUUCAUUCACCUGUAGAGGGGCUAAAGCCAGGAAGCCAAGUGGUCUUGCUCAGCAGAUCCCACCCCCACGGAGCACAACAAGCUAAGAUCCACUGGCUUGAAAUUCUCACUGCCAGCACAGCAGUCUGAAGUCAACCUGGGGUGCUAGAGCUUGGUGGGGGGAGGGUCAUCCGCCAUUACUGAGUCAUGAGAAGGUGAUUUUCCCCUCACAGUGUAAACAAAGCCACCAUGAAGUUCGAACUGGGCAGAGCCCACCACAGCUUGGGAAAGCCCCUGUAGCCAGACUGCCUCUCUACAUUCCUCCUCUCUGGGCAGGGCAUCUGUGAAAGAAAGGCAGCAGCCCCAGUCAGGGGCUUAUGGAUGAAACUCCCAUCUCCCUGGGACAGAGCACCUGGGGGAAAGGGCGGCUGUGGGUGCAGCCUCAACAGACUUAAACGUUCCUGCCUGCCAGCUCCUUGGAUCUCCCAACACAGCGCUCAAGCUCUACUAAGGGACAGACUGCCUCCUCAAGUGGAUCCCUGACCCCCGUGCCUCCUGACUGGGAGACACCUCCCAGCAGGGGUCGACAGACACCACAUACAGGAGAGCUCCAGCAGGCAUCUGGCGCAUUCCCCUCUGGGACGAAGCUUCCAGAGGAAGGAACAGAUAGCAAUCUUUGCUGUUCUGCAGCCUCCGCUGAAUGAUACCAAGGCAAACAAGGUCUAGAGUGGACCUCCAGCAAACUCCAGUAGACCUGCAGAAGAGAGGCCUGACUGUUAGAAGGAAAACCAACACACAGAAAGCAAUAGCAUCCACAUCAACAAAAAAGACGACCACACAAAAACCCCAUCCGAAGGUCACCAACAUCAAAGACCAAAGGUACACAAAUCCACAAAGAUUAGGAAAAAAACGUGAAAAGGGCUGAAAAUUCCAAAAACCAGAAUGCUUCCUCUUCUCCAAGGAUCACAACUCCUCGCUAGCAAGGGAACAAAACAAGACGGAUAAUAAGAUUGAUGAAUUGACUCAAGUAGGCUUCAGAAGGAGGUAAUAACAAACUCCUCCAAGCUAAAGGAGCAUCUUCUAACCCAAUGCAAGGAAGCUAAGAACCUUGGUAAAAGGUUACAGGAACUGCUAACUAGAAUAACCAGCUUAGAGAAGAACAUAACUGACCUGAUGGAGCUGAAAAACAGAGUACAAGAACUUCAUGCAGCAUACACAAGUAUCAAUAGCUGAAUGAAUUAAGCAGAAGAAAGG
rnacentral:lncRNA from 1 species